GACUGCACCUGCACCCCCAGCACUGCAGAGAAACCGACUGUGCCUGCACCCCCAGCACUGCAGAGAAACCGACUGCAUCUGCACCCCCAGCACAGCAGAGAAACUGACUGCACCUGCACCCCCAGCACUGCAGAGAAACCGACUGCAAUCUACACCCACAGCACUACAGAGAAACACUGUGCCUGCACCCCCAGCAUUGCAGAGAAACCAACUGCAAUCUACACCCCCAGCAUUGCAGAGAAACCGACUGCACCUGCACCCCCAGCACUGCAGAGAAACUGACUGCACCUGCACCCCCAGCACUGCAGAGAAACCAACUGCAAUCUACACCCACAGCACUACAGAGAAACACUGUGCCUGCACCCCCAGCAUUGCAGAGAAACCAACUGCAAUCUACACCCCCAGCAUUGCAGAGAAACCGACUGCACCUGUACCCCCAGCACUGCAGCAAAACCAACUGUGUCUGCAUCCCCAACAUUGCAGAGAAACCAACUGCACUGCACACCAGCAUUGCAGAUAAACCGACUGUGUCUGCACCCUCAAUAUUGCAGAGAAAGUGACUGCCUGCACCCUUGGUUACUGGAGCAGAUGCCUCCCUCCUUCUGCCCAGGGCUCCCUUUCCCCUGGGCUCUCCUUCCAACCCCUGCCCCAGCUUCAGGACUUUUCCUCUAUUAAGUGACCUCUCUUUCUCUAAGCUCUCUUCCCACUACAUACAAAAAUGCUUGGCACUUGCAUAUGAAAAGAAAAGUUCUUGACCUACAGAUUGAAUUGCAUCCCUUCCUUCCUCCCAAAUUUCAUAUACUAAAUCCCUAACUCCUAGUACCUCAGAAUGUGACUGAAUUUGAAGAUAGGGUCUUUUAAACAAGGUGACUGAGUUAAAAUAAGGCUGUUAGGGUGGACCCAACUUCAAUAUAGAAGAUGUUUUUAUAGGAGGAAGAAUUUGGGCACACAGAAAGAAAGCAAGGAUGUGGAUGCACAGAGGAAAGCCUGAUGAAGACGCAGCGAGAAGGUGGCCAUCGCAAGCUAUGGAGAGAGACUGUAGAGAAAACCAAACCUGCCAACACCUUGAUCUUGGACUUCCAGCCUCCAGAGCUGUGAGAAAAUAUAUUUCUGUUGUUUAAGCCACCUAGUGUGUGGUAUUUUCCUAUGGCAGCCCUAGCAAACUAAUACAACAUCCUAAUAGCCACUUCCAUGACUACCUCCAUACAACCAAACUUCUAGAACACAUUUGCUCUCAAAUGCUUCAUUCCCUAGCCCCUUCUCAUUCAACAGCCCACCACAGUCAGGCUUCUACCCCCCCUUUGGGAGACAGCUCCCACCCAGGUCACCAGCAGUCUCCACAGUAGUUACUCAAUGAACAUCAUGCCCAACAUAGGUAGACAUUGAAUUCAUGAAGAAGUAGUUGCUGUUGUUACAGUUGUUUAAGAGGUGCCAGCUCAGUCUGCCAAAUUACAGUACAAGAUAAGAAAGUAACCCAGGAAGUGAUGGGGAAGUAGGGAUGGUUAAUAGGUACCAAAAAAAAAAAAAAAAAAA
rnacentral:lncRNA from 1 species